rnacentral:rRNA from 1 species
GGCGUGCUUAACACAUGCAAGUCGAACGAUGAAGCCGCUUCGGUGGUGGAUUAGUGGCGAACGGGUGAGUAACACGUGGGCAAUCUGCCCUUCACUCUGGGACAAGCCCUGGAAACGGGGUCUAAUACCGGAUAAUACUCUGUUCCGCAUGGAACGGGGUUGAAAGCUCCGGCGGUGAAGGAUGAGCCCGCGGCCUAUCAGCUUGUUGGUGGGGUAAUGGCCUACCAAGGCGACGACGGGUAGCCGGCCUGAGAGGGCGACCGGCCACACUGGGACUGAGACACGGCCCAGACUCCUACGGGAGGCAGCAGUGGGGAAUAUUGCACAAUGGGCGAAAGCCUGAUGCAGCGACGCCGCGUGAGGGAUGACGGCCUUCGGGUUGUAAACCUCUUUCAGCAGGGAAGAAGCGCAAGUGACGGUACCUGCAGAAGAAGCGCCGGCUAACUACGUGCCAGCAGCCGCGGUAAUACGUAGGGCGCAAGCGUUGUCCGGAAUUAUUGGGCGUAAAGAGCUCGUAGGCGGCUUGUCACGUCGGAUGUGAAAGCCCGGGGCUUAACCCCGGGUCUGCAUUCGAUACGGGCUAGCUAGAGUGUGGUAGGGGAGAUCGGAAUUCCUGGUGUAGCGGUGAAAUGCGCAGAUAUCAGGAGGAACACCGGUGGCGAAGGCGGAUCUCUGGGCCAUUACUGACGCUGAGGAGCGAAAGCGUGGGG